AGCAGCCGCGGUAAUUCCAGCUCCAAUAGCGUAUAUUAAAGUUGUUGCAGUUAAAAAGCUCGUAGUUGAAUUUCGGGAUCAAUUUAUUGGUCGUGCUAUUGUACGUACUGGUAUUAUUGAUUCCUACCUUCUGACGAACCAUGAUGUCAUUAAUUUGGUGUCUUGGGGAAUCAGGACUGUUACUUUGAAAAAAUUAGAGUGUUUAAAGCAGGCUCACGCUUGAAUACAUUAGCAUGGAAUAACGAAAUAGGACGUUUGAUUCUAUUUUGUUGGUUUCUAGGAUCGACGUAAUGAUUAAUAGGGAUAGUUGGGGGCAUUAGUAUUCAAUUGUCAGAGGUGAAAUUCUUGGAUUUAUUGAAGACUAACUACUGCGAAAGCAUUUGCCAAGGAUGUUUUCAUUAAUCAAGAACGAAAGUUAGGGGAUCGAAGACGAUCAGAUACCGUCGUAGUCUUAACCAUAAACUAUGCCGACUAGGGAUCGGAUGAUGUUAAUUUUUAAUGACUCAUUCGG
rnacentral:rRNA from 1 species